AUAAAAAUUAGUUAAUUUAAAUAACAUUAGUUUGUCAGACUAAAAUAAUCCCCCAAGAUAUUUUUA
rnacentral:tRNA from 1 species